rnacentral:lncRNA from 10 species
GCUAUAAAGAGACUAAAAAAAUCUCUCAUCAUUAGGACCAAGUGCAAAUAGACUUGCAAAAGUCAGACCUGCUAUUGUGAUUGACAUGAGGGCACACACAUUACUGAUGGUCAUGAAUUGCUCUGUCUUUAUUAACAGAGCCCCUGAAAGACUACAAGAGCAACUGGGAGGUUCUGAUCAGCAAACACAGCUAUUCCUAAGCUCACAAUCAGCACACUGCCCCCUCUACCUGGAGGAAUUGCCAUCUUUCCCUCACAUAUGAAGCCAGCCUGACUGGCUGGAUCAAUUUGAACCAUCAAUGGGGUGGCCAAUGCUAUAUGCAUAUUACUCUGAAAUUCACUCUCUGGGAUACUAUUUGGCACAUUAGUCCAGUUGAGAUUGACUAAUUAGUGCCUUAGUAUAGUAAAAAUUGGAUGCCCUUUUCUACUCAGCAAUCUUGGCCCUCUCCAAUGCCCCUUUCAAAUAUGAAAUGCAUUAUACAAAGUACCUCUGCCUCAAAGGAGCUGGAUCCAUUCUUAACCCUUGGUAUCUUUCAAGGAUGUGAGAAUGAAGAUUCAGUAUGUCCUGAGCAUAAUAGUUUGCA